rnacentral:rRNA from 1 species
AUUGAACGCUGGCGGCAGGCCUAACACAUGCAAGUCGAGCGGGGUUUUCAGACCUAGCGGCGGACGGGUGAGUAAUGCGUAGGAAGCUGCCCGAUAGAGGGGGAUACCAGUUGGAAACGACUGUUAAUACCGCAUAAUGUCUACGGACCAAAGUGUGGGACCUUCGGGCCACAUGCUAUCGGAUGCGCCUACGUGGGAUUAGCUAGUUGGUGAGGUAAUGGCUCACCAAGGCGACGAUCUCUAGCUGGUUUGAGAGGAUGAUCAGCCACACUGGAACUGAGACACGGUCCAGACUCCUACGGGAGGCAGCAGUGGGGAAUAUUGGACAAUGGGCGCAAGCCUGAUCCAGCCAUGCCGCGUGUGUGAAGAAGGCCUUCGGGUUGUAAAGCACUUUCAGCGAGGAGGAAGGGAUGUAUGUGAAUAGCAUGCAUUUUUGACGUUACUCGCAGAAGAAGCACCGGCUAACUCUGUGCCAGCCGCCGCCGUAAUAC